rnacentral:rRNA from 1 species
AUUGAACGCUGGCGGCAGGCUUAACACAUGCAAGUCGAGCGGAGAUGAGGUGCUUGCACCUUAUCUUAGCGGCGGACGGGUGAGUAAUGCUUAGGAAUCUGCCUAUUAGUGGGGGACAACAUUCCGAAAGGAAUGCUAAUACCGCAUACGUCCUACGGGAGAAAGCAGGGGAUCUUCGGACCUUGCGCUAAUAGAUGAGCCUAAGUGGGAUUGGCUAGUUGGUGGGGUAAAGGCCUACCAAGGGGACGGUCUGUAGCGGGUCUGUGAGGAUGCUCCGCCACGCUGGGACGGAGACACGGCCCAGACUCCUACGGGAGGGAGCAGUGGGGAAUAUUGGACAAUGGGCGGAGGACUGAUCCAGCCAUGCCGCGUGUGUGAAGAAGGCCUUUUGGUUGUAAAGCACUUUAAGCGAGGAGGAGGCUACCUGGAUUAAUACUCUAGGAUAGUGGACGUUACUCGCAGAAUAAGCACCGGCUAACUCUGUGCCAGCCGCCGCGGUAAUAC